CCUACGGGGAGCAGCAGUGAGGAAUAUUGGUCAAUGGGCGGAAGCCUGAACCAGCCAAGUCGCGUGAGGGAUUAAGGCCCUGCGGGUCGUAAACCUCUUUUGCCGGGGAGCAGUGGUCCGGACGCGUCCGGACCGGGAGAGUACCCGGAGAAAAAGCAUCGGCUAACUCCGUGCCAGCAGCCGCGGUAAUACGUAGGGGGCAAGCGUUAUCCGGAUUUACUGGGUGUAAAGGGAGCGUAGACGGCAAGGCAAGCCAGAAGUGAAAGGGCAGGGCUCAACCCUGUACAUGCUUUUGGAACUGGGGUGCUAGAGUGCAGGAGAGGUAAGUGGAAUGCCUAGUGUAGCGGUGAAAUGCGUAGAUAUUAGGAGGAACACCAGUGGUGAAGGCGGCUUACUGGACUGUAACUGACGUUGAGGCUCGAAAGCGUGGGGAGCAAACAGGAUUAGAUACCCCGGUAGUC
rnacentral:rRNA from 1 species